AGACGUAUAUGAUUUUAUGUAUGGAGGUAUUAAUAUUAAGCUUUAAUAACUUAUACUAAUUUUUAAAAAUUCAAUGGGGACGAAUAAUGCAGACUCAAUAUUUAUGGCUCUGCUACUGGAAAAACCUUUUGUUUUCCAAGUUAUCUCCAAUACUCUACCGCAUAAUAAAGGUGAGACGCAAAAUCUAUCAAAAAACAAAACACCUAUGUCGUGAACAACAUAUCGAUAGAUACAACUGAGUCAAUAGAAUCUUCUAGAUAUAAACUGCAAUCUUGAAAAAAGAAAAAAAAACUUCAUCUUGUUUUGGUUUCGAAAAAAGAAUAAUAACAUCAUGUAGGCAAUCAGAAGAGUCCAGCUAAAACCCAACUUGGUCCAUCUAUUAGAGACACACAAGAAACCAAAUUUGGUCUCAUAACGGUUCGGAGCAAACCAAAAUUGUGCUUUCAAAUCGAUAAAUAGAAAACUUACCCGAUUUGGAACUUAACAGAGCUUCAUUCGGCACCCAUGGGAGCUUGUACUCCAAAGAGAGACUCUCCACAGCCUACCCAAGUGUAUUAACAACAAUUGGAUCACGCAGAUCCAAUCAUGCCUCUAAUUUAAUAUUUCGGACCUAAAUAAGGAAAGUUCCUUAACAAUUGGUUCAGUUUUUUGGAGAAUCAUAUUCUGGUGGAAGGUAAUGGUGGUCGUGAUAGCGCUCGUGUGGUCAGUGGCGGAACCAAAAAUAUUUUCUACCAGCAUCAAUACUAAUACAUUAUAUAUUUUCUACCACGAUCAAUACUAAUAUUUUCUACAGACUACUAACUAUAUACACAUGCAGAUGAAAUUUUAUAAAAUUCACAGAAGUCAGUUGACCCCCUCUUCCUUACCUAGCUCCGCCACUGCGUGUAGUCAUAGAUCGUUUUUCGAAGAUGGCAAAUUUUCGCCAUGUAAGCGAACGACAAAUGUG
rnacentral:lncRNA from 1 species